AGGAUCUCCGAUGACUCCUGGUGGCGUCUGCAUCAUGGGCGACGGCUCCGUGUCUGGGACUCUGAGGUCCGA